GAUGAACGCUGGCGGCGUGCCUAAUACAUGCAAGUCGAGCGAACAGACGAGGAGCUUGCUCCUCUGACGUUAGCGGCGGACGGGUGAGUAACACGUGGAUAACCUACCUAUAAGACUGGGAUAACUUCGGGAAACCGGAGCUAAUACCGGAUAAUAUAUUGAACCGCAUGGUUCAAUAGUGAAAGACGGUUUUGCUGUCACUUAUAGAUGGAUCCGCGCCGCAUUAGCUAGUUGGUAAGGUAACGGCUUACCAAGGCAACGAUGCGUAGCCGACCUGAGAGGGUGAUCGGCCACACUGGAACUGAGACACGGUCCAGACUCCUCCGGGAGGCAGCAGUAGCGAAUCUUCCGCAAUGGGCGAAAGCCUGACGGAGCAACGCCGCGUGAGUGAUGAAGGUCUUCGGAUCGUAAAACUCUGUUAUUAGGGAAGAACAAAUGUGUAAGUAACGAUGCACGUCUUGACGGUACCUAAGCAGAACGCCACGGCUAACUACGU
rnacentral:rRNA from 1 species